rnacentral:tRNA from 1 species
UAUAUUAUAGUAUACGAUUUACAUUGGCUUUUGAUGCUAAAAUAAUUAGUUUGAUUCUAGUUAAUAUAA